ensembl:lncRNA
AAGAAAUGUAUAAAAAUUAUUUAUUUAAAUAAUCUGACAAAUAUGCAUUUGUAUUAUACAGUAUAAAGACCAGUGGUCCAUUGAGUUCCCUCAAGCUGUGUUUAGAGCCCUGGAGCAUGUCCAAAAUAUACAAAUACAGUCACAGGCCAUAAUUCCACACGUGUGGAUCUAACAUGUACAGUACAGUAAAUCCUGUACAUAAGUAUACAUGGAUUAUGUUUAAGUUCUGAGCCUUUCACUGUCACCAAACUAAACAAGUAAUAGACAUUGAGAUUUGUCUAAACAAUGCAGUGAUGCUGCAGAUUAUGCAAGAUGUUUUGCGAGGUUUGGCAGAGACCCAGAAGUUGCAUGAAUGUUUACUUGUCACGUCAUCAUCAUGGGAAUUCUCUGGACCAAGCCCUGGUUUACUCACAUCCAUCCAGUAUUUAAGGCACAGUACCACAGAUGCCAGAUUAAAUACAGACAGUGACAUUAACUGACAAGUGACACUAACUGGACAAGAACAUCUGCUCAAGCUUUUGAUUUGCAGGAUGAAGACUUUACAUGCAAUGCUACUGAUGAUGUUUAUUGCAUCAGUCUUUUCAAAACCAUCUCGUCUGCACAAAAGAUCUGAUUCAUCAGACUCGGAGGGUUCGGAGGAAAAUGAUUCACGCGGAGGAAUCAACGAGGAUUCACAGUCGGUCGAGAAUUCUGACCAGUCUAAUGAUUCUUCUGAGGAAGUUGUGCUGAACACAAUCUCUCCAAUUCGCACAACAAGAUGAAUCAUCAGGACAGAAGACAUCACACACCGUGUUACUGUGGAUCUGACAACUGAUAUAAUGAGCAAUAAUUAUAAUACCAAUAUAAUCUCUUGCAAUACUACUACUUAAUCAUCUUUUCAUGCAAAAAAAAAAAAAAAAAAAAAAAGUUUAAUGGUGUACAAUUCAUUAUGGUUUCCACUAAUGAUACUGAUUGACGUAACUUUAAAAAAUUAAUUACUUUUAUAUUCAGAAUAAAAAAUCUUUCAAAUGCA